CCUGCUCAGUCUUCACUGCAGAGGGAUUUCCAGACGCUUUUCCCUGAUCCUUCUCAUUUUCUUGAGCGAGUGGCUUUCUAACUGAAGCUUCGUGUGGGAGGCUUCAUGUUGGCAUCCAGAGUACAUGUCCCAAAUAUGUCCAGCCCCACCUUCUGAUCCUAGUGCAAAGGAGCUGCUGACAGAUGACAGUAGCUAUCCUCCUCCAAUAUUGAGGAAAAGGCCACCUGUGGAUCAAGCUGUGGGGGAAAAGCGGAAACCAGAGAGAAGAGUUCGAUUUCGUGAGCCAGAAGUCACUGAAUAUGUUAUUUCCUGCUGUGACUACAUAGUGGUAGAUGACAGGUCAUCAUCUGGAUUUCCUGUGCUCCUGUGGCUCUCAUUCUGUGCAGUGUUGAUCCUUGCUGUGAGUGUCUACUACACCAACAUGAAGCAAGAUGUCAAAGUCCUGGAAGAAUUUCAAUCCCGACUUGUUACGUUCUUCCUUCAGAUAAGACAUGUUGUUCAGAAAUGCUAUACUUGGUUUAUGAGGCAGUAGCAAUGUCCUCCAGCCUGACAGACAUUUCAGAGCACUGUCAACCAGGAUUCAGCUGUGCAAAGCUCCCAGUGUACUCCAGCCACAUGCAGAGAACACCUGAGCAUCCACCUUGAAGAGCAAGAAAGCCACAUCUGUUGUACCCUAUUCAGCAGUCACUUGCUCCUUUUUCUUCUUUCUUUUUUUUUUAAAUUAGUGGAUGGUCAUACUAGGCCCCUGAGGUUCCACCAAAAUCGUGAUCCAUCAUCCCAAACAGCAAACAAGCAUCGAAUUUCUAUGUCCUAAAGACCUUUUAACUGCUGAUAUGAGGAGCAGAAGUAGAGAGAGAGCUAUAUUGAUCUGUGCAGGCAGCAGGAAGCUCCAAAUAAAAGUCUCCUGAGUCUCA
rnacentral:lncRNA from 14 species